UACGUAGGGUCCGAGCGUUAAUCGGAAUUACUGGGCGUAAAGCGUGCGCAGGCGGUUUUGUAAGCCAGAUGUGAAAUCCCCGGGCUUAACCUGGGAAUGGCAUUUGGGACUGCAAGGCUUGAGUGCGGCAGAGGGGGGUGGAAUUCCACGUGUAGCAGUGAAAUGCGUAGAGAUGUGGAGGAACACCGAUGGCGAAGGCAGCCCCCUGGGUCGACACUGACGCUCAUGCACGAAAGCGUGGGGAGCAAACCGG
rnacentral:rRNA from 1 species